rnacentral:rRNA from 1 species
AGACGUCGGCGACACCGCAAGGAGGCAGCGGCCGAGCGCCGGGGCAGCGACUGGGACG